rnacentral:lncRNA from 1 species
CUGCUCCUCAACCUUUUAAUGUCAGACUGACCAAGAGAAGAACACAGGAUCUGACAGAAGGAGACAAAAGAAGCAAAGGUGGCGAGGCUGGUGAUGGAGAAACCCGUGAAAAUACCCUGAAGGAAUGAAGUGCAGUGUGGAAGACGGUGACUCAUAUCUCUGCAGUGAUCCUUCAGUAAAAGGCCCCCAGGAGGAGGAAGGGCUGCUAACCAGCGUCUCAGAGCAUGUGCAAGUGACAGAGGAUAUGGGAGCCUGUGGCAUUCGGAGUUGCCCACCACCUGCUGGGAUCCACUUACAAAGCUGCAAACACAUGGGAAGACUGCCGCUCUUGCUGACACAUCGCAGGAGGACCAAGCGGAGACUGUCGCUCCCAGUCAACUUGAGUUCUGCUAUAAUGAACAAAAAUUACAGUUCAAACAUGAACCUCUGA